UGAAAAAAAGACCUAAGGAAAAAAGCUAGCAAGCGCCGCAAUACAAGGACCCACCCCCUGAAUCUCGUCUUCUUCAUCCCCCUCCCGGCGAUGUUGCUUCUUCUCCACCCUUUUCACUGACCUUCAAAUAGCAGCUCCACCAUGUUGUUCACCAUCACGCUGCCGCCAGCAACCAAUCCAAACAGAUAAGUGGCUUAGUUCCCUCACCUCCCAUUAACACACACACAUACAAGAACAAAAGAACAAAAAAAAAUAGAUGUGUGAAACACCAGAAAAUUGAAAUGAAACAUAAGUUUCAGUCAUCUUCUUUCUGAUUUCUAUUUCCGUUUUAUUAUGGAAUUCGUUUGAGUUUUUGCUAUUUCUAGCUCGACUAAAACCAUCAUCCACUCGAGGUAUCGUUUGAGGUUGAGUCCAUUUUUGGAGCUCGUUUGUGAGAUAUGUUCGGAGGCAAGUAUUGAAGUUUCGAGUUCGUUGAGGUCCGGUUCGACGAGUCGACGGGAAAUGGAUUGAUUCACUGUUUUCAGUUCUUUAAUCAGGCCCAGGUACCUCCUAUCAGCCUUGCUAUUAGUUGCGUACUUGCUACUGCUCCAUAGACUUCAAGAUGAUGAGGACACGUCCAGUCGGAUCAAAUGACCAGACACUCGCGCCCCCUGCUAAAGCUGACAGAGGCCGAGGCCGGGGUAGAGGCCGAGGACGUCCACAUAGUUCAGCUAGAGCACCCGCACGAGCUUCCACAUAGGAGCCACCAGUAGCUCCAAUCGAAGCGCAGGCACCUAAGACGCAUGCUACUACACUAGCUCUUCAGAAAACCCUUGCAUAGUUCCUGAGCAUGUUCGGUACUCUAGCUCAUGUAGGGUUAAUUCCCCUUUCCCUACCACAUCUCAGGCAGGGGGAGGAACACAGACUCCCGCUGCCCGCACCCCAGAGCAGCGGGUUCAGGUCAAUCAGAUUCUAGAGGUCAUACCGGUGCCACAAGUCGCCCCAAUUCAUCCCGAGGGUAGGGCAGCAGUUUCUGAGGAGGAGCACUAUAGGUUUGAGAGAUACAAGAAUUACCACCCUCUUACUUUGUCUGGUCUGGCGUCAGAUGAUGCUCAGAGAUUUUUUGAGGAGUGCCACCGUAUCCUCUGUACUAUGGGCGUAGCAGAGUCGAGUGGGGUUUCUUUCACUACAUUCCAGCUUAGAGAAACAACCUAUCAGUGGUGACGUGCUUAUGAGUCUGACAGUCCAGCUGCGGCAACUUCACUUACAUGUACUCAGUUCUCGGAUAUGUUUUUGAGGGAGUAUGUUCCCCAGAGCCUCAGAAAUGCAUGGCUCACCGAGUUUGAGCAGUUGCACCAAGGUGCUAUGACUGUGUAAGAGUAUGCAGUUCGUUUCAGUGACUUGGCUAUACAUGCACCGGUGUGAUGAACCAAAAGGUCAUCACUUGUGUCGCAAGUGCAUUCAGUAUUCCAAGGCCUAAAAACCUCCCUUUUACCCCACCUUGAUUUGCGUGCGUGUUCCGGACCUAUAUCCGGAAAGCCUUCUAU